GUAAGGAAUAUUGGUCAAUGGACGCAAGUCUGAACCAGCCAUGCCGCGUGGAGGAUGAAGGCCCUCUGGGUUGUAAACUUCUUUUAUGGGGGACGAAACCCCGGAUUUUUAUCCGGCCUGACGGUACCCCAGGAAUAAGCACCGGCUAACUCCGUGCCAGCAGCCGCGGUAAUACGGAGGGUGCAAGCGUUAUCCGGAUUCACUGGGUUUAAAGGGUGCGUAGGCGGGUUUGUAAGUCAGUGGUGAAAUCCCGAAGCUUAACUUCGGAACUGCCGUUGAUACUACAGGUCUUGAAUACUCGGGAGGUGAGCGGAAUAUGUCAUGUAGCGGUGAAAUGCUUAGAUAUGACAUAGAACACCGAUUGCGAAGGCAGCUCACUACAGAGUCAUUGACGCUGAGGCACGAAAGCGUGGGGAUCAAACAGGAUUAGAAACCCUUGUAGUCC
rnacentral:rRNA from 1 species